GUACUUGCCCAGAUUGCACAUUUGAUAACACUGGAACAAUAUAGGGAGAUUAGCAUGGCCCCUACACAAGGAUGACAUCCAAGUUCAUGAAGUGGUCCAUACAUUA
rnacentral:snRNA from 1 species